rnacentral:rRNA from 1 species
CAUGAACCACCACGUCUGAACCAUCGCCAAUAUAAAGCCAAGCUAAUAUAUAGUUUUUAUCACGUUACUGAUUUUCUAGUAGUCAGGUUUUAUAUAUACGUCCGUGGUUUAAGACGAUGACGAGGUUGGUGAGUACGGUUCUUUUCCCUCGUGUUAAGCGUUCCAAGUGUCGUUAGACAGUAUCAACUAAGUCACAGAUCCAGCUCACCUUAGGGGUUCCAC